UCCUUUACACACAGUCUCUGGUCACACUCCUCAGUCCUUUACACACAGUCUGUGAUCACACUCCUCAGUUCUUUACACACAGUCUGUGAUCACACUCCACAGUCCUUUACACACACUCUGUGAUCACACUCCUCAGUCCUUUACACACAGUCUGUGAUCACACUCCUCAGUCCUUUACACACAGUCUCUGGUCACACUCCACAGUCCUUUACACACAGUGUGUUUGUGUAACGUGUGACUCUUUGUGUGUCUCAGGUUUUGGGAUGUUCCUUCGUCCUCGUCACAAACAACAGUUUAAAAACCUGCUGGAGUCGCUCAUCGGCCGCUGCACCGACGACUCGGAGGAAACUCCUGCACUAAUAAACACUGACCACUCUGGUCACUCUGGUCACUCUGGUCACUCUGGUCACUCUGGUCACUCUGCUCCAGUGAAAACUCAAAGCAAAAUCUCCACUUUCUUCUCGAGUCAGAGGAGGUGAUGAGCGUCAGGUUUGGGUUGAACUUUAAACGCUGCUCCUCAAACAGACUUUACUCGAGUAUUUGCACACGUGACGGUCGGACUUCUGCGCACAGACCUGGAUUUUAAAGAUGAACAGACUGAGAUGGACCUGACCUGGAGAACGGACCAAAAGGAGGAUUAUGUCGUUUAUGGAUUCACUUUUUUAUCUUAGUAUAAAAAAAUCUAAAAAUAAAUGGUUAUAAUAUUUAAA